UACGUAGGGGGCAAGCGUUGUCCGGAAUCAUUGGGCGUAAAGCGCGUGUAGGCGGCUUCGUAAGUCCGUUGUGAAAGUCCAGGGCUCAACCCUGGAAUGCCGAUGGAUACUGCGGAACUAGAGUCCGGAAGAGGCGAGUGGAAUUCCUGGUGUAGCGGUGAAAUGCGCAGAUAUCAGGAGGAACACCAAUGGCGAAGGCAGCUCGCUGGGACGGUACUGACGCUGAGACGGCGAAAGCGUGGGGAGCAAACAGG
rnacentral:rRNA from 1 species